UACGUAGGGGCCAAGCGUUGUCCGGAUUUAUUGGGCGUAAAGAGCUCGUAGGCGGUUGGGUAAGUCGGGUGUGAAAACUCCAGGCUCAACUUGGAGAUGCCACCCGAUACUGUUCUGACUUGAGUUCGGUAGGGGAGUGGGGAAUUCCUGGUGUAGCGGUGAAAUGCGCAGAUAUCAGGAGGAACACCGGUGGCGAAGGCGCCACUCUGGGCCGAAACUGACGCUGAGGAGCGAAAGCGUGGGGAGCGAACAGG
rnacentral:rRNA from 1 species